rnacentral:rRNA from 1 species
GGGAGCUUGCUCCUGGAUUCAGCGGCGGACGGGUGAGUAAUGCCUAGGAAUCUGCCUGGUAGUGGGGGAUAACGUCCGGAAACGGGCGCUAAUACCGCAUACGUCCUGAGGGAGAAAGUGGGGGAUCUUCGGACCUCACGCUAUCAGAUGAGCCUAGGUCGGAUUAGCUAGUUGGUGGGGUAAAGGCCUACCAAGGCGACGAUCCGUAACUGGUCUGAGAGGAUGAUCAGUCACACUGGAACUGAGACACGGUCCAGACUCCUACGGGAGGCAGCAGUGGGGAAUAUUGGACAAUGGGCGAAAGCCUGAUCCAGCCAUGCCGCGUGUGUGAAGAAGGUCUUCGGAUUGUAAAGCACUUUAAGUUGGGAGGAAGGGCAGUAAGUUAAUACCUUACUGUUUUGACGUUACCAACAGAAUAAGCACCGGCUAACUUCGUGCCAGCAGCCGCGGUAAUACGAAGGGUGCAAGCGUUAAUCGGAAUUACUGGGCGUAAAGCGCGCGUAGGUGGUUCAGCAAGUUGGAUGUGAAAUCCCCGGGCUCAACCUGGGAACUGCAUCCAAAACUACUGAGCUAGAGUACGGUAGAGGGUGGUGGAAUUUCCUGUGUAGCGGUGAAAUGCGUAGAUAUAGGAAGGAACACCAGUGGCGAAGGCGACCACCUGGACUGAUACUG